GAAAAAGGUAACUCUGUCUCUUGUGUGAUUAUUUCAUCCAGCCCAGUUCCCCUGGAGUGACCCUGAGUGUUUUUGUCUCGUGGAAUGUGACAGCCGGCUGUCUGUGGGCUGAGACCUCUGAAACUGAGAGCCCCAAAUAACCUUUUCCUCCUCAACCACUGUUCUGGUCACGUCUUUUAGUCACGGCAGCAAAAAAGCUGACUAAAACACCCUCCAUCCGCCAGCCACAGCCACCCACAUCACCUGCCCUGGUGUCUCGCUGUCAGUUCUUAGAAGACUGUCACUCCUUCACAGAUUUCCCCUGGGCCUUGUGUCAGGCGCUGAGUCACGGAGGAGUUUCUCAGUAACCCACCCACCCCUCCCCCCAGCCCUGAGAGUCGGAAUUCCGCCGUGGUAACUGGGAACUUGGUUCAGCUCCACCGUGAUGCUCGUGUUAGUUGGGCUGUGAGGUGUCCCCCAAAAUCUCACGUGAGACAAUGCAGGAAGGGUCAGAGGAGAAAUGAUUGGCGGUGAGAGCCUUAACCCAAUCAGUGAGUCACUCCCCUGAUGGGGAUUAACUGAGUGGUCACUGGAGGCAUUUCGAGCCACAGAAGUAGAGCCCCCCGACGGACCCAAACCAAAAAGAGCAUCUUUUGAAAGGGAGCUGGGGUGACUCAGAGGAGGGAGACAGAAUGAGAUCUACACAAGACAGGAACCGGGGCGGCCUACACCAGAAACUUGUGGUCAGCCCUUGUGCUCCGCCGGUUACUGGUGAGUCCUGCUUCCCCACGUGUUGAAGGUUGAACAUUGGAGAAGCAGCCGCGGCGAGCAUAUGAAGCAGGUUUAUUUAAAGGGGUCACAUAGACUUCUCGCAGGAGGGAGAAGGGGCCACAGCUGGUGUCCUGGUAUCCCAAGGAGCGAGGUGCUCUGCCCUUUUUAUGUGUCCUAGGAUUCCUUUGUUCUCCUGCUUGUCCCCCUUAUCUUUCUCCUUCCUGCAGACAUGAUGAGGCCCAGGACAUGACUAGGCCCAGGAAAUGCUCGGUGGGAUGGCCAACAGGUGGGCUGAAGGGGGAAGGGCAGGAGGGAGCCGCCAAAGACACACUAACAACCUUAUAGCUCCCUGUAGGGAGGGGCAAUUCCUGGGACAGGUUACCUUGGCAAUAGGUUGGAGCAGGGGCAGGUUCUUGAUAAGAUCCCUCAGGGGACAGUCUCCAACUUCCCAGACUCACUCAAAAUUGGCCUCCUUGACCUGACCUGACUCGAUUUACCCAUCUACCUGGCUGCCUGUCAAAUUCUGGCUUCACUUGGAGGGUUUCAUCAGAUGGCUUUGUUCCAAACAUCUUGAUUUCAAAUUCUCAGGAAACAGAAUAGCUUGGGUCAGGUGACUACUCUUGGGCCAAUCAGGUCAGGGGAUCAAGAAGGGAGCACCCACAUUUGACUAUACAUAGUUAAGCUUGGCUCUCAGACAUCUAUCAGCGUCCCUCUCAUAUGACCAAGGUUGGCUCUCCUCCCCUCCACGGACCCCACACUCCCAAGUGCAACAGCAAACACACUUGCCCCUUCUCCAGUUUAGAUGCACCCACGUCAGUUCCCUCUUCUAUACCUUGAAAUUUUGUCAUGAGCGCAGGAACUCAGCAUGUCUCUUGCUCCCCCAGGAGCUCCUAUCUUUUGGGGGGAGGCCAGCAGGGAUUGAGUUCAGGGGUACUCAACCACCAGGCCACAUCCCCAUCCUAUUUUGUGUUUAUUUAGAGACAGGGUCUCACUGAGUUGCUGAGUGCCUCACUUUUGCUGAGGCUGGCUUUGAACUCGCAAUCCUCCUGCCUCAGCCUCCUGAGCCUGGAAUUACAGACAUGCACAAUGUACCUGGCUAGUAGCUCCUAUCUUAAUAUUUGUGUGUGUGUACGUGUGUGUGUGUGUGUGUGUGUAGGAAACAGUAGAGGCUACAACUGCCACGUGCCAUUGCUACCACUGCUAAGGAUCCUUUCCCCGGUCAUUCCACGGAGCAUUCCUCUUAAUCACGGACAAAUUCAUUCCCAGGGGGCCUGAGCCUCUUGAAGGCCUUGCCUUACUAAGAUUCUAGAAUUUUCUAUGAACUUUUACUACUUGUUAAACUAGUACAGGAAGGAAUCUUAAGGGAUCCCUGGAGUCCUAUAAAUACUCCUUCUGCACUAUUGUGUAGCAACAUGAAUCUCUUGAUGAUCAAGAUUGAUUAGCAAACGCAACAAUAAGUGACCUUAUUGUUAUUUACCAUCAAGAAGCCUGAAGAGCAGAUAUCGUCAGUUCAGAAACUAUUUUGCUGGCCCUGAGGAAGGUAUCUAGUCCUGCAGAUCUCAGAAUUAUAGGUAGCAAAAAUAAAAUAUCUGGGCUGGGGAUGUGGCUCAAGCGGUAGCGCGCUCGCUUGGCAUGCGUGCGGCCCGGGUUCGAUCCUCAGCACCACAUACAAACAAAGAUGUUGUGUCCGCCGAUAACUAAAAAAUAAAAAAUAUAAAAAAAAAAAAUAAAAAAAAUAAAAAAAAAUAAAAUAUCUGAGAAUGGCUCAUUAUGUGCAGUCACAGAGCUACUGCCCACGUCUUAACUCCUUGACACUCAGAUUCAUCAGUUGUGGCAAUGGGAGAAAAGGUACCAAAUCCAGGAACAGAUUCAGAGCACAGAGCAUCCUCCAAGACAGCUCCUAUUCUCGAGGUGUCUUCUCCCAGCUGACAUGGGGCUGAGGCCCUGUUUUGGUCACAGCUUUUGCACUACUGUGACCAAAACUCCCGAAAAGAACAACUUAGGGGAGAAGAACAACUUAGGGGCUCAUGGUUGCAGAGGUCUCUGUCCACAGAUGACUGACUUCAUUGCCGGAGUGAGGCAGAACACCGUGGUGGAAAGACCCAGCAGGGAAAGCUGCUCUGUUCAGGGCAGGGUCAGGAAGAGAGGGAGGGGACGAGGCCAGAGGAAGCACAACCCCCAGUGACCACCUCCUCCCUGCCCCUCCUGCCCGCAGUUACCACCCAGUCAGUCAUUCAAGCCAGGAUGGGCUGAUGACGGUACAUCUCCCACUGUCUAGUCAUCUCACUCUGAUAUUCCUGAGUUAACAGGAACUUUUGGGUGACACUUCACCUCCAAACCAUAACAGUCCUCUUCAGGCCAUUUCAGUGAUAUCCAAGGUGGUCACUUCCAAAGCUGAGAGUCACCAGAUGUCAAGUAGUCAGCUUGACCCAGUUGCCUGGUGACAGAGCCCAUUUGGAAACCACUAGUGUGCCAGGGAAGGCGGGAGACCUGCAGCCACAGGCGUCUUACCCCCUUGCUUAUUAAGAGUCCCUUGGUAGGGGAGCUUCCAGCAAGCACACGGGGGCAGUGGUGUUUUCUAGCUCUGGCCUCAUUCUGAGAGCUCCAUCCAUAUGCCUCUUCCCUAAAUAUCUUUGCCACCAAGCCUCCAUGUCCUUCCAGAAUACUGAGCUUGCAGCCAAACCUCAGCUGUUACCUAGGAAACCAUGCAGAUCCUGGCCUGAGGAUCCUCCUCUGUGGGCAGAAUGGGCCUCAGGACAUUCUCUGUUGUCACUGGGAGUACCCUGGGAGGAGUUCUAGCCGUCCAUUCCUGGCUGAAGCUGAGUGCUGAGCACUGAGCACUGAGUGUGAACAUCUGAGUUGGGCCCUCGGGGCUGUUCAGCGUGGUCAUCAUUAAUUCUCCAGUUAGUUUUGCAAGUCAGAUUGCCUCCUGCAAUCAAAGGGGACCACUGGAGCAGGUGGGUGUGUCACAGGUGAGGACUGUACCGCAUCUCUCCUCCUCCCCCCAGUUAGGAGAGAGAGGCUGGUCCCGCCUUCCUCUGCGCCCCCUGCCCUGGCAUCCUGAACCCCGGCACCAGACCUAAGCUGGCUAACCCGCUGCUCCCACAUGGGACCCUGGAUCUGAAUCUUAGAACUGAUUCUCAGUGGCAGCAGCAGGGCUUCCCAGAGGCAGAUGGUAAUGAGGCAACCCAGGGGUGGAAUCUCAGGGCUGCAGAGGCAGGACCGCGGCCAUCCUGUUGCAAAACCUGAUGCUUGUGCCCCCUGCCUUUGGCAUCACGUUGCUGUCUUGGUGUCUGCGGACUUCCGGAGCCUGCUCUUCAGGAUCCUGCUGGCCCAGGGUACCUUAGGUAUCAUCCCAUCAAAUUUCCUACUAUUAUUUGCCGAAGGAAACCAGAACUGGUAUCUUUGUUUAUGAUCAGGAAAGCGGAUUGGUACAUGCCAAGAGCUGGGGGCUGUAUUCAUUUGCGUUAUUAACAAGAACACCUUAGGAAUGGCGACUCCAGAAUUUCAGCCUGACAAGGUGAAUGAGCUCCAUCUUGGCUUCCAAGACUCAUGGCUGCUGGGCACUGGGCAAGCUGGAAGGAGAAUCAGUGUCACGGGAAUCUCUGCUCCUGUCUCUUUGGCGCCAUCUCUAGGUCCUUCAAGCACUGGUGUUGAAUUUGAUUUAAAUAUUUUGGAUGCCAGGCUGUGGUGGCACACUUGCAAUCCCAGCUGCUCAGGGGGCCGAGGCAGGAGGAUUGCAAAUUUGAGGUUGGCCUGGAAAACUUAGGAAAGCCCUGUCUCAAAAUUAAAAAUACAGAGGGGUUGGGGAAAAGUGUCCCUGGGUUCGAUCCGCAUUACUGCAAAAAUAUGAAAUAAGAUAAAAUAUGUAAAAGGACUGAGUGUAGCUCAGUGGUGGAGUGCUUGCCUAGCAUGUGUGAGGCCUUGGUUUCCAUCCUCAAUAACACAACAAUACGCAUAUAUGAAGUAAUAAAAAUAAGAUUUUGGUAGAGUUAUAAAUCUCAAAGACUUCCACUUGGCCUAGCUCACUAGAACAGACCCUGUCCUGAGUUUGUGAACACUCUGCAGCCUUCAAGGACACCAGUGCCAGUUACCCUCUCAAGAACCUGAACAGUGGUGGCCAGGGAAGGGUAGGGUUCCCGUAGUUUACAUUUUCAUUUGUUCCUGUUCCCCCCUGACCAGCAGAUAGCAGAGGCACCGAGACUUCAUGGGCCAGGAAUUCAUGCAAAUUUGGCCAGUAUCCGCAGUCCUAGGUACAUGGCCGCCUUUGAAGGUCAGUUACCCGAGGUUCCUCCAGACGGGACAAUAUUCUCAUGGUGUGUGACAAGGCUGUUCUCAGAUUCUGGCCUCCCUUCCUGCAAGGACUCUGGGUCUGUCGUAUCUAUGACUCAGGUCUCUGAACUGGGUGGGAAGCAGGACCAUCCAGCAUGAGACUGUCUGGCACACGCUCACUAGAUUUGGGAUCUUACAAAGUAAGUGGCCAUCCACGAGUCCUCUUUUGGGAAAUCUCUGCAUGCCAAAGCAGCCCUGACCCCCAAUCCAACGCCUGCCUGACCACCCAACACCAUGCCCACGCUUUCUGUUCUUCUGAAUGUCAACUGCCUCUCCAGAGUUGGCCUCGUAGAGUUUCUCCCACCCUAAAGAGAUCAGGCUCCCAGCCCCUUGUGCUGGUCUAGAGAGCUUCCUUGACCAUUUACUCCUCAUGUCAAAGGAGGCUCAGUGUGGGCAGGAAGUCCCUGGGAGACAAAUAUGCCAUCCUGUUUACUGCUCUCUCUCUCUCUCUCUCUCUCUCUCUCUCUCUCUCUCUCUCUGGUACCAGGGAUUGAACUCAGGGGCCCUCGACCACUGAGCCCCCUCCCCAGCCCUGUUUCGUAUUUUAUUUAGAGUCAGGGUCUCACUGAGUUGCUCAGCUGACCCAGCCUCCCAAGCUGCUGGGAUUACAGGCCAGGGCCAGGGCUCCCAGCUCCUGUUCAUUUUGAUUCCUCCGCUUCCUUUCCCCCUCCCUUCACUGUUCUUCUCCCUCCCCUGCCCCCUUCCUCUUCUUCCUUCUCUCCCUCCUCCUCCCCGCCUUUCUCUCCCACCCUCCCUCCUCCUCUUCUUUUUUUCUUCCUCAUGCCAAGAACUCUCUGGCUUUGGGGGGUCCCAGAGAGGUGGCCAGUCUUAGUUAAUGGUCGCAUAGCCGACCCGGGCACAGCUGGAUUUGCCCAGCUGCUGGAGCAUGGCCCUGGCCUUGAAUCCAGAGUUACCUUCCAUCCUCUUUGUUGAUUACCCUCAUACUCCACCCCACAAAUUGCCUCCGACGUGUGGAGCUCUCAGAGUGAAUUAGGCUGCUGUCUUGGGGUGCGUGGAGCUCUCAGAGUGAAUUAGGCUGCUGUCUUGGGGUGCGUGGUUUCCAGUCUGCGCUGGGCUCUGGGGGCUGCACUGACUUCGAAUCUGGAUCUCGGUGGUCCAGCAGCAGAGCGAGCUGAGCAGAUGCGAGUGGACGCUGCACGCAGGGGGCCCUUGGGUAGGGGCUGGAAUUGGGAUUCUUCAAAUCCCCUCAGAGAUCCUGGUUGGAAUUUUCUAGAUGCAACUUGUGGUAGGCUGAAUAACAAGCUCUAAAAAUGCCCAUGUCCUCAUCCUCAGAAUCUGUGAUUAUGUCACCUUAAAAUAAAGGAACUUUGCCUAUGACGUGAUCCAGUGACGGGUCUGGAGAAGGGAGGUAUCAGGGACGAUUUGGGCGGGUCCAGUGCCAUCAAGGGGUUCAUCCAGGAGGGUCGGGGAGGAAAAGGAGAUGUGGUGGCAAAAAAAAGGAGGCAGAGAGAGAGAGCGAGAUGGGGAGGUGUGGGCGGCUGGUUCUGAAGGCGAAGGAAGGGGCCAUGAGCCAAGAAACACAGGUGGCCUUUAAAAACCAGAAAAGAGCUGGGCACAGUGACCGCCUGUAACCCCAGCUUCUGGGGAGGCUGAGGCAGGAGGAUCACCAAUUUGGAGGCCAGCCUGGACAACUUAGCAAGACCCUAUCUCAAAUAAUGAUGAUGAUUAAAAUCUGGAAAGUCAGGGGAUGGAUUUUCCCGAGUCCCCAGGAGAAAUAGACCUUCUAACACCUCGAUUUCAGGACUACUGACCUUCUGAAGUACAAGGGAUUAACUUGUGUUGGUUCAAGCCACUACGUUUGUGCUACUUUGUUAUAGCAACCAUAGGAAACUAAAAUUCAGGAGUGCCCUUUAAAAUAAUAUAAAAGAUCUUGAGGCUGGGCUUGGGGCUCAGUAGUAGAGCGCUCCCCUAGCACGUGCGAGGCGCUGGGUUCAAUCCUCAGCACCACAUAAAAAAUAAAUAAAUAAAAUAAGGUAAUGUGUCCAAUUACAUCUAAAAAAAAAAAAAGCCAGCCUCAGCAACAGUGAGGCGCUGAGCAACUCAGUGAGACCCUGUCUCUAAAUAAAAUACAAAAUAGGGCUGGGGGUGUGGCUCAGUGGUCGAGUGUCCCUGAGUUCAAUCCCUGGUACCUCCCCCCACAAAAAAAUAUAAAAGAUCUAGUGAGGAUUGAAUUCAUCCUGAGAAUAUGAAACCUAUAUAAUUGAUCUCCAAAUUUGUGUUUUUGUUGUUGUUGUUUAGUACUGGGGAUUGAACUCAGGACACUGGACCACUGAGCCACACCCCCAGCCCUAUUUUGUAUUUUAUUUAGAGACAGGCUCUCACUGAGUUGCUCAGCGCCUCACUGUUGCUGAGGAUGGCUUUAAAUUCGCCAUCCUCCUGCCUCAGCCUCCCAAGCUGCUGGGAUUAUAGGUGUGCACCACAGUGCCCGGCUUCCAGAUUCUCUUUUUAUAGGAGAAUCUUUCAGUUGAAAACUAUAAAAGCCAGAAUUUAUUUCCUGCCUUCAGGAAAGUUUUCAAGACUUCAGCCCAGCAUUUGUCCAAAGCGGCUGGCCAGCUGCAGGUCCCAGCAUCUCUCUUCCCUUCUAUGUGGCCGACAGAAAGCAGGUGCUGCCAGGAGUGGGCGCACGUGGCUCCGCCCCCCUCUCAGCCAGAAAACCCUUCUAAACAGACCAGCCUGCCUGAGAGUCCUGGUCUGCACACACUGUUAGGUACCAAUCCAUGUGCCUAGGAAGACCCUUUUAUUGCAAGCGGAAUAGCAACCAAAUAAAACAAGACAAAAACAAAGUCAAGAACAAAACCAGACACAAAUUAAAUAUUUAAAUAAUCGUCGAACUCAAGAAUAGAGGCAUUUCCUGGAAUGAUCCAGAGAGAAAUCUUACAGGAUUAAAGAAACACACAGCUGGGGGUACACACACACACAAAAUCUUAUAAACAGGCUUUGGGAGGAGCAGGGACCCAGAAGGCCCCAUGGUCCCAGCAGGAGUUCCUGAGCUUGCGGGGGUGGGGUGGGGGUGGGGCAGCUCUGCAGCCCUGGGCCUCUGGGUGUUUCCUUCAGGUUUUCCAGUUCUCAGGGGAGAUUCCAAUUGCCCAGGGGCCUUAGAGCCCUCCUCCUGGCUGAGGGUCAAAAGGACUGCAUCUUCAGGGAAAGGUCCAGAGCUCCCUAAUUUGGGUCCUUCCAGGAGCUUCCUCCUCACCCCUGGGAGGCUUCUGCCCUGGGCCUGCCACCCUUCCUAGGGAGGGGCCCAGCCUCUGAAGCUGCGGUGGCUAUGUUCUAUUAGUGGGCAGGGCUAACUUUCACCCCCCCCAUCAAGGGCUUCCUCCUCCCGCCAAGCACUCUGGUCAGCCUCCCUCCCUCUGACUCCUGUCUCCUAACCUGCCUCUGGUUCUGCGCUUUGCCCGCACCUGGCACUGUGAUGGGGCCUGGUUCAAUGACCGGCUGUCCAUGGCUCCACAGGCAGCCAGGCUGGUCCCGGGAGCCUCAGGGAGAGCCUCUGCUGCUCCCGGGCCCGGAGUCCCCUCCAGGACAGAGGACCAGAGGGUUUGUGCACUGGAGUGGAGGAGAGCAAUGCUUUGGAAUGUCCCCCACCUUGGUAAGCCAGUGCCUCUUGUCCCCGUCUGCGUGGAGACCACAACAGGAAACCCAGGAAGGGAGGAGGGUGCCCAGCAGAAUUCAAGGAACACAGCUACACCCAGAACCUCCGCACGUUGGCACAACUCUUAGGCUGAGAGGAAACACUCCCACAGGCUGGGGUUUGGGGGUCGAGGGCAAGGUGGGGUUCAGUGCUCACAGAGGGGCUGCAGCAGCCAGGACUGGGGCCAAGGCAGAGAGCUGAUGGUCAAGGUCGGGGCUACUCGGCUCUGUCCAGUUCUGCAGAGGCUGCACUGGUGGCGGAUACUGUUGUUAUUCAGGCUUCCUGAUCGCAGCCAAGGGGGGGGCAGGGGUUGAGUUCCACAGCAUCCCCCCCCCUUUCUGCAUCCUGUUACACACCCAGACUGAAUUGCAAAAUCUCUUCUGUGACCAUCGCUCAGAGGUGAUAGUCAGGGCCGCCCAUGGUUAAUAUUGGGAAUUGCUAGGUGGCUGUAGAUCAGACUCCCCAGAUUCUAUUCUUUAUCUUUUUGGGGGGUGUCUUCCUCCAUCAAAGAGGAGUGGAGACAACCUCUGAGACUGAUGACCACAGGACUUGGGAGCCACCUUCCCCCAUCAUACAGAAUCAAUAGGAAUCUGGGUGAUUCCUUGUGUUGGCCUUAGCCCCUGGACAAUGGCCUUCAAGGAUGGGCAGCUGGGUCAGUGAACAGCCUGGAGAUUGGGGCCCUGAUCAUCCAAGCACAGUGCUGUCCCCAUCAUCCAUGAGGUAGUGAAAAAUCUUAGUGGAGUUAUUAAAAUCCAGCAGCUAAGAAGAAGUUUAAAGUCCUAUAUCCAGGAAUCUCGUUGCUCAAAGGAUCAGGGAGAAGUGGGUUGGGUUAAAAGUUGGAUUUGGGACUUUUAAAAAUAGGAAUGCUGGCAAAGUUUAAUAAGUCUAAUCCUGGGACAUGGAAGGGUGACCCAUUGAUGGAGCUGGAGAGAGAGGGAUUUCCUGAGAAGGUUGAGGUUGCAAACAGACUGAGCGGAUGUGACAGGCUGGCUGCCCCCUCCACCUGCUCUUGAGUGGGACUAGGCAGGACAGGUGUGGAAUCCCUGCUAGAUCCAGCAGGGGGCAGGAUCCGAAGAUGAAGGGUCCGUCUAACUCCCAUGAAGGAGCUGGGAUACAGGAAAUGAUCAAGAGGCACUUUCUAGAGGGUAGAGAGCAGUUUUAUCAGUACCACAGAGGAACAGUUCAGAUGUGUGCUGAUUUGGGUAGGGAGAUCAGAAUGCUUCAGAAGUUAAUUUGUGGAUUUUGUGGGGAUUCAGAGGGAGGCGGGGAAGUAGGAAUGGCCUGCACUUGGAGAAGUUUAUGCAGGAGGAUGGAGGGCUGGACUCCACAGGAAAGAGGUCAAAAGAAGAUGGAACCACUCCAAGGCUCAGGCAGGGAAAGGCUAGGUAGAGCUCAGGCCAAAGUUAGGUGGGAGGCUGGGAGGAGGAGCCCUCCUCUGUGAAGUCACCCACUCGAGGAAGGCUGGACUUGUUUCCACAGUGGGAGAGUCUGGUGGACCUCACUUCUGGACUUGCGAUUUUUCAAUAUGUUGGACCCUGAAAGAUGGAUUCCAGAAGUCUAUGUCAGGGAACUACACCCCAAAACAAAAGUUACAGACAAGGAGGGAAGGUCCUCUGGUCCAGGAAACAGCACUAGCCCUGCACCAGACUGAAAAGGAAGGGACCCUGCAGUGUGAGCUAAGCCUCUGGUAGACAGAGGUUGUCACCAAAGCCACAGUUUUUUCCCCAAGACCUGAAAGCUCCAGGCCAAGGGAAAUACGUCUGUGGGCAGGAGCAGCUGCUGGGACAAUGGGUCUCCCAACUUGAGUUGCACCCCUUAUCCGGUUGCUACAUUGAGAGUUAGAAUUCCAUGCGUCUGUUGCCCAAGUGUUUUUGGAAUUCUCUUCAUAGGCACCAGCAGCCAGAGCCCCAGCUCUCACGGAUAUUUAAAACAUCCAGUUGGGAUCUGCUUCUCUCCAUCCACACCUCUGACUCCCAGGUUGUGACGCUAAAGUCUAGCAAAAGACACAGAGAACUGGGACAAAGUAUUGCCCCAAGAAGAAUCUAAGGAGGGGUGACCAUGGGGGAAUGUUGGCAGCAGGCUACAGGAUGGAGCUGGAGACAUGGACCCGAAAGGCAGCCCACCUCCCGCCCUCCCUCAUUCAUUCAUACACUCAUUGACACCCCUGUCUCCUUCUAUGAGCUGAGCACUUGCAAGGUUCUGGGGACAUAAAGUGAGUCAGACAGGGUCCUGUCCUGUCUGGAGCUGAGUUGAGCUGGUGCCCAUGUGCACAAAAGCAAAGGACCUUGUGGGGACUACUGGCUGCCAGCCGGGCGGGGCUUGCUCAUCCCUUACCUCAGCAGCACUCACACGCUCAGCUUCCCUGCUCCCCGAGAUGCUCCCUGUCCUCUGCUGCCCAUGCACCCUCCCCUCUGCCAUCUGGAACACCUGGCCCUUCCCUCACCUGGCCCCCUCCUGCUUGCCUUGGCCACUCAGCACAGAGUGAUCUCCUCUGUGGACUGCUGGCCCCUCAGUGUGCUUCAGACUCCCAUGGUUCCAUGGGCUUCCUUCUGACAUCUUUGCUUUCUCUGAGCUCUCGCUUCACCACCUCUAGAAACCCUGCAGCCCCCCAGGGGCUCCUGCCACCCUUCCCCCUCCAUGCUGUUGCUGUCGUGGGCACAGUCUAACCCCUGCAAGAUGGUAUUUUAUCUUUGGUCUUAAAAAGUCAUUCACAUUUUUUAAAACUUAAUAUUGUCUUCAACCAUUUAUCUUUUUUGCAGUACUGAGAAUUAAGCCUAGAGGGCGCUCUACCACUGAGCUAAAACCCCAGCUUGUUUUUUUUCUUUCCGCGUUUUUUAAUUGAACAUUAUAUUUACACACAAUGAUGAGCCUUGUUGCUACAUAUUCAUACAUGCAUAUAAUAUAACAAUAAUACUUGGCCAAUACCACUCCUCAGCUUCCCUCCCCUCCCCAUCUUCAACCCCUGUUCUUUCCUCUAUCUCCCUUUGAUUUUCAUGAGAUCCCCCACCCCUUCCUCCCCUUUCUUUUCCUGUUUCCUCUCUAGCUUCCACAUAUGACAGCAAACAUAUGACUCUUGACCUGAGUUUGACUUAUUUCACUUAACAUAAUGGUCUCAAGUUCCAUCCAUUUUCCUGCAAAUGUUAUAAUUUCAUUUUUCUAUAUGGCUCCAUUGCAUAUAUAUAUAUAUAUACCAUGUUUUCUUUUUUUUAAUUUUUUUUUUCAUUUAGGUAGAGGUGGACACAUACCUUUAUUUAUUUUUAUGUGGUGCUCAGGAUCGAACCUAGUGCCUCACCCAUGCUAGGCGAGCGCUCUACCUCUGAGCCACAACCCCAGCCCUAUCAUGUUUUCUGUAUCCGUUCAUCUGUUGAUGGACAUCCAGGCUGGUUCCAGUUUGGUUAUUGUGAAUCACAGUACUGUAAACACGGAUAUGCAUCUGUCGCUAUGCUAUGGUGACUUUAAUUCUUCAGGAUAAAUACCAAGGAAUGAUCUAGCUGGGUCAUAUGGUGGUUGCAUGCCUAGUCUUUUGAGGAAGCUCCAUGCUGAUUUCCAUAGUGGUUGUACUCAUUUACAAUCCCAUGAACAGUGUAAAAAUGUUUCUUUUUCUCCACAUUCUCUUUACCCAGCUCUUAAAUUUUGAGACAGGGUCUCACUAAGUUGUAGAGGCUGGUCUUGGUCUUGUGACCCUCUUGUCUCAGUCUCCUCAGUUGCUGGAUUACAGAUGUGCACCACCGCAUCUGGCCAAUUAUUGAUAAUUUCUGAUGUUCUUCAACUGUUUCUGGAAGUUGAUUCUCCCUCGGGUAACCCUUCUCCUUAGCUGAUGAACCUCAGCUUUUGCAAGUCUUUUCAUGCAUCCCCGGAGGCAACGAAUUCUUCAGAUUCUCCUUUAUCAAAAAUAGUCAUCACUUUGCUUUCAUUUUUGAAAGAUGUUUUGUCUGACUAUAGAAUCUGUGGUUGGCAGGGUGUUUUCUAGCCCUUUAAUCAUGUUGUUCCGCGGUCCUCCGGCUUUCCUAGAUUUUGAAUGACUCUCUCUGAGUUUUUUCCAUCAACAAAGGCUGGUGGCUUUUGUCCCCAGCUGCCACCAGGGCCUCAGACAGAAGAGCACCGCAGGGAUCCCCUUGCCUGGGGUCCCUUCCAGUGACCUCACCACUGGAGGUGCAUUGCAGCAUAGCCUCAAGGACAAACCCCAACCGAGCGGGUUUAAGAGUCUGUGGUACGCACAGACCUCCCCUGCGCUGGCGAGCGGGCUGGGGAGGGGCCGAGGUGAGCCUGGGCCCGACACGCAUGCGCACAAGCCAGGACGCGCAGCACAAGGGCGGCACUUAGGGGCUAGUGGCAUUUGCUGGGUCCAGGGAGUUAUCCACACAGGUUUCCCGGGGGGCAUAGUAUUGUAACUGGAGUCAAGGAUGCUGAGAGCUGCUUCUAGAGAGAGAAAGUUACACUCGAAGUUAAAAUGAAUGCCAAGACACCCCAACCCACACCCCGCAAAGUUUCGGCGAGAAGUUCUUGGUUGUUGGUAUCCUUGAUCCUCCUGUGUAAUAUGUUAAUUUUCUCUGGCUGCUUUCUGGAGUUUGUGUUUAUUUUGAUUUUUGGCAAGUCCAUUAUGAUGGGCCUAGGUGAAGUUGUGGGGUUGAUUCGGUUGGGGGUCUACAGAACUUCUUGGGCAGGUAAACUUUCCCUCUAAAUUUGGGAAGUUUUAAGCCAUUAUUAUUAUUUUUUUUCUAGUUGCUGCUGGGGAUUGAACUUAGGGACACUAGACCACUGAGCCACAUCCCCAGCCCUGUUUUCCUAUUUUGCAUUUUAUUUAGAGACAGGGUCUCACUGAAUUGCUCAGCGCCUCACUUUUGCUGAGGCUGGCUUUGAACUUGUGAUCCUCAUGCCUCAGCCUCCUGAGCCGCUGGGAUUACAGGUGUGUGCCACCACGCCCUGCUUAGUUCAUUUUAUUUAUUUGUAUGUGAUGCUGAGGAUCAAACCAGGUCCUCACAUGUGCUAGGCAAGCGCUCCACCGCUGAGCCACAACCCCAGCCCUCAGCCAUUAUUUCUUGAAAUACUUGUUGGCCACUCCGGUCUUUCCUCACUUGUCUGUCUGAGAUUCCAGCUCUCCAACUAUCCUUAGAACUUCUGACAUUUCCCCACAGGUCCCCAAGACUGUUUAUUGUUUUUAAAUGUUUUUCCUUGUAUUUCUUCAGAUUGGGUAAUUUCCAAAGAUCCGUUUAAUUCCCUCUAUCAUCUGCAUUUUGCUAUUAAGCACAUCUAUCUAAUUUCCAUAUUUCAGGUACUGCAUAUUUCAGUUCUAAAUUUUUCUUUGGCUCCUUUUUUUCUAUUUCUCUGUCGGCAUUCUUAAAAUUUCAUUCAAGUGUAUUUUUCCCGAACUCAACAAGUAUAGUUAGAAUAACUGCUUUUAAGUUUUUAUCUAAUUCCAACAUCUGGGACUCCUCAAAGUUGGCCUCUAUGGAUUGUCUUUUGUUUUGAGAAUGGGUUACAUUUUCCUUGCUCUUUCUCUGUCCGGUAAUUACUGCAUGGUGAACAUACGAAUGUUGUGUUGAAGACUCUGGAUUCUGUUGUAAUCCUCCAACGAUUUAGUUCUCUGUAUUGAUGUGCUAGCCAGAAGGAGCGGCUCCAUCUUGCCUGUGAUGUGAGGCCGCUGAGGUCUCCUGUGAGACUGCUUUUGGUCUGCUACAUGCCUGUGUGGCUGAGGAUCAGUAGGUCACCAGGGUAGACUAGAGACAAAUCUUGGAGUGUCCCUUCUUUGUCUUUCACUUUGAACCCUUUCUUCUCAUUCUCCAGCAGGAGCCAUUGCCCUGGGCUACCUUCCACCUCCUCAGGGCAGCUGUUUCCCAUUGGCUGCCCUCAACGAAAAGCUGAAAAAAUAGAGAACUUUUUUUUUUCAGCUUUUCUUUUUCCUUUUUUCUUUUUUGGUACCAGGGAUUGGACUCAGGGGUGCUUAACCACUGAGCCACAUCCCCAGCCCUCUGUUAUAUUUUAUUAGCCACAGGGUCUCGUUGAGUUGCUUAGAGCCUUGCUAAGUGCUGAGGCUGGCUUUGAACUCACGAUCCUCCUGCCUCAGCCUCCCAAAUCUCUGGGAUUACAGGCAUGUGCCACUGUGCUUGGCCAGGGCCCAUCAUUUUCUCCGUAUUGAUUCCUCUCAACAUCUUCCUGUUUUGACUUGUUCUCCUGAGCCUGGAGGUAGUGGUGUUAUAUUUUGUCUAGAGUGUGUGGUGCUAAUUUCAGGAGACUCCCUGAACUUGCUUUUGAGCCUCAGUUCUUUCGUGGACUUGCUGUGUGAUCUUGAGAAAGCCACUGUCCCUGUCUCUGCCUCAGUUUCCCUACCUACACAACAAGGUAAUAAUUCUGUUCCUUUUCAAAGUAAGUGCAUUGCUCCCAGAGACUUGGGAGGCUGAAGCAGGAGGAUUGAAACUGCAGGCCAACCUGAGCAAAUUAGUGAGACCCUGUCUCAACAUUAAAAAAAAAAAAAAUUCUGUCUACUGGUGAUGUAGCUCAAUGGUAAAGCACCCCUGGGUUCAAUCCUCAGUACAAAAAAAACAAAAGUACAUUGCAAAUUGUAGAGUGCUCUUUGGAUAUAAUCCCGCCCAUCUGCUAUGGGUCCUUCACAGUAAGGGCCCCAGAUGCUCCAUGGACAUUUUUCCUAGUGAAAAGACCCUGUGGGGAGAGUGAGAUGGGGGUCCCUGUAUUCCAGUCCCCCCCUUAUUGUUAUGGUACAUUGGGAAACUUGGGGUCCCUGACUUGGGAGUCAGAUCUAUAUUCCAGUUUCUCUCUGCCUUGGAGCCUGAGUUGGCUGCCGAUUGUCCUCUGUGAAAGGUGCACCGUCCUCCCAGAGUUGUUGUGGGGCUGAAAUGUGAUGGUGGUGAAGGAGCCCUCAGCCGUGGAUCGCUGCUCUGGCGGCCAUCACACGGGAAAUGGGGUUGGCUUGCUUCCUUGGUCCCUGCUCAGCUCAGCAGUCCUGGCCACUCCCUGGCUCCCUUUGUUCCUAGAGAAAGGGUGCACAAUCAGGCACAGCUGAGCUGCUGAGAAAGCCAGGGUCUCUGCAAGAGACUCCACGGUCUUCUGUCCACCAACGUGUGCUUCUUAACACCAACGUGUGCUUCUUCAUUUCUGUUUUCAUUAAAUACACGCACACACGUGUGCACACUCAAACACACACACACACACACAAUUCCCUUCUGUCUGCCCUAGACUAGGCCUUGCACAGGGCAAUGGGGACAUAGAUGCAGUUGAGAAAUCCACCGCCCAGUCACCAUGGCCUCACGGAGGGCAGCAGACAAGGAGAGAGGGCCUGUGGCUAGGUUCAAGCCAGGAAUCACUGCACUGGUGACAACUGACCCCACCAGGAAGGAUCCAGAGGGUUUCUGGAAGAGGCUGUCCCUGCUUUGGGCUUGGGAUGACCUAGAUUCUCUCAGGCAACGAGAUCAAACACCUGGCUACACCCAGGUUUGUGGCACUCAGUAACCAUCAGUUCGGCUGUUUCUCAUCUGACACAGUCUCUGGGUUCCUGAAGCUGUGUGCUCUGUGAAAUUGGGGCUGGGAAAGACCCUCGAAAUCUGCAGAACAAUGAUCCCGAUACAGUGGGAUGAUCCCCCCUCCAGUUGAACCUCCACCUGCAUCCCAGCCAAGUCACGUUUGUCACCUCAAGCCCCAAUCCGUGAUCCUUCCCUUGAGAUGUAGGUCUGGGAAGGCUUUUGCUCCUCUCUGUGUCACAGCAGCACACAUGCUGGGCAAGCUCUCUACCACGGAGUCACAUCUUCAGCACUUUUUACUUAAUUUUGAAACAGGGUCUUGCUAAGUUGCCCAGGCUGGCUUCAAAGUUGUGAUCCUCCUGCCUCAGCUCCCCGGUAUUACAGAUUGUGCCAUCGCACCCAGCAAGCCUUUGCUUUUGAUAGAGAUUAUUUUAUCAAAAUUAAAAUCGGAUACACAGGGUAGCCUUCCUGAUUGACCCACCACUUGAAUAUAGCGGGAUAUGUCUCAGUGCCGUCCUCACCCACAUUUCAGCUUCACCAAAUUUAACAUCAUGGAGAGCUCAGAGGUUCUGGGAGCAGCUAACCAGCUGCAACUUACACACAGGGAACAGCUGGAAGCUAUCCAGGUGAUAGGAGGAGAGAAAGGUGGCACUGGGGUCUGCAGAUUGCAAAUUUUUGCCAAAUCCUUAUUCACGGUGGACACAUCCUGAGACCCCCCAGUGGAGGCCUGAAACUGCAGAUAGCACUGAACUCUGUGUAUACUAUUUUUUUUUCCUAUUAAAUGGAGAAUUUUUUUUUCUUAAGGGAAGCACUUUACAGCUACUCUUUGGCAUAUCUAAAUUUCUAGCAUCACUAGGCUGAGGCUGUGGCUCAGUGGUAGAGCACUCACCUGGCACCCCGUGAGGCACUGGGUUCAAACCUCAGCACCACAUAAAAAUAAAUAAAUAAACAAAAUAAAGAUAUUGUGUCCACCUCCAACUAAAAAAAAAUUUAAAGAUUAAAUAAAAUGAAUUGCCAGCAUCACUACUCUUGUGCUUAGAAUCAUUAUUAAGCAAAAUGAGGGUUACUUGAAGACAAGCACUGUCAUACUAGACGGCUGAUCUGGUAACUGAGAUGGCCACUGUGACUGAUGGGUAGGUAGCAUAUACAGUGUGGAUACACUGGACAAAAGAAUGAUCCACAUCCCGUAUGGAGUGGACUGAGAUGGUGAAAGAUUUCAUCAUGCUAUUCAGAAUACCAUACAUUUAAAACUUAUGAAUUGUUUCUGAAAAUCUUCAUUUAAUCCUUUCAGAUUGAGUUGACCUCCAGACACAGAAACCUCAGAACGCAAAACUGCAGACAAGGGGAAGACUUCUGUAACUAGGAAGGCUGCGUACAAACUGUCAAAUGACAAGGAACUAAGACGCACAGGGAGUCAGCGUCAGGACUGCAGAGAUCACAGAGCCUGUGGGAGCAGGUGCCCAGGAGGAUGGAGGCUGGAUGGUAGGCCAUGGCUGAACUUGACCGACCCUCUGGUUCAGCCAGCCCACGGAUGGAGCUGGGGUUCAGGGUGGAGCCCGGCAGACAUUCCUUCUGUGUGAUUUCAGUUCCCAUUUAUGUGCAUCUUGGAUUUUAGAGAAGGGUCUGGCAAUAAGUCAGUAACGGGCCCUCUGGUUGGUGCCCAGAGGUGACAAUAGUCAGAUCUCACCAGUCAGUGAUGCUAAGGAGCAGGUAGGAGCAUGCUUCUUCCCACCUUGCCCUUAAAAUAAUCCUUUAAAGAAAAGCUAUUGUUCCCAUGUGACAAUUGAAGACUCAACGCAGGCAGGAAGCUUCUAGGAAACUCAUCGGAGGCAGCAGAGCAUGCAGCAGACCUAGGUGGGCUCACAGCCCCUGAAGGGCGCAGGGGAGGGCCCUCCAGUGAGCCGCGGCUCUGCAGGGUGAGCGAAUGUCUCCUCUCCUGGCCACCAGGAGGACGUGAGCCAUCCGUGGCAAACGGAGAACAAAGGAGGAGACUUUCCCAGCCACGGCAUCAGCUUAUGGGGACAAACAAGAUGCCCACAGAGAUAUUCUCACCAAGGCCGAGGUGUUUGUCAGGCCCACCUCUCUCCUCCUGAGGUCACCAAGCACGUGUGACUGGCUUGUCAGGGCGCAGCGUCGGCUCUCACGAGGAUGCUGUUGGGAAACGCCUUUGACUCCCAGGCGUUUCUUCCUCAGAUCCUCCAUUAUUACUGGCCAGUCCAACCCUCAGGGGACAGGGCUCGUGCAGGGCUGGACUGAGGCGGAGGAGUGGAGCACGGGUUCCCUGGGACGGGCGC
rnacentral:lncRNA from 1 species